UAGAUAUUUCAAAUACUCUAGAUCAACUUCAACGGCUCCGAUCAUCAAUUCGGAAUCUCGAUCAUCAAGAACAACUUAAUAGGACAAGUGCUCCUAUCCUAUUAAUAGGAUAGUAGCAUUACCCUAUAUAGGGCCCGGCUACUAUCCUAUUAAUAGGAUUGGGACCCUUGUUCUAUUAAGUCGAUUUGAAUGAUCGGAACUUCAAAUUGAUAAUCGGUACUGUUGAAAUUGAUUUGCACAAUUAGAAAUGUUUAGAAAUGUUGAAAUUGAUCUACACAAUUAGGCUGAUGUGGUCCCUUUAGGAUUGAGUGGGUAGUUAGUUGAAUAGUAUAAUCGAAUGGAUGAAAAUGAUAAACGGGAUAAAUCUAACGGUAGAAAACUUGAUAGCACUAAAUAUUUCGUGCUAUCGAUAGUAUCCUGCCGGACUCUACACACACGGUUUACCACCAUUAUUAUUAAAAUUAUUUUG
rnacentral:lncRNA from 1 species